AUUCCUACGGGAGGCAGCAGUGGGGAAUAUUGGACAAUGGACGAAAGUCUGAUCCAGCGACGCCGCGUGGAGGAAGAAGUCCUUCGGGAUGUAAACUCAUGAAGCUAACGAAUAAGACGGAAGGGGAACCUUCCGGGAGAAGGUAAUUAGUGAAAAGCCCCGGCUAACUACGUGCCAGCAGCCGCGGUAAUACGUAGGGGGCGAGCGUUGCCCGGAAUUACUGGGCGUAAAGGGAACGUAGGUGGCUCUUAAAGUCAGGUGUGAAAAUAACGAAGCUUAACAGGUUAAUGCGCUUGAAACUAAAGGGCUUGAGGGCAAUAGAGGGAGAUGGAAUUACCUGUGUAGGGGUGAAAUCCGCAGAUAUAGGUAAGAAGGCCGGUGGGGAAGCCGAUCUCCUGGGUUGACUCUGACACUGAGGUUCGAAAGCUAGGGGAGCAAACCGGAUUAGAUACCCGGGUAGUCCUAGUCGUAAACGAUGCUCACUGGGUGUGGGUCGAAAAGAUCUGUGCUGAAGCUAACGCGAUAAGUGAGCCGCCUGGGGAGUACGUCCGCAAGGAUGAAACUCAAAGGAAUUGACGGAAU
rnacentral:rRNA from 1 species